GAUGAACGCUGGCGGCGUGCCUAAUACAUGCAAGUUGAGCGACGGAGGAUGGUACUUGUCCCCAUUGGAUGAGCGGCGAACGGGUAAGUAACGCGUGGGGAACCUGCCUUUGAGCUGGGGUCAACUUGGGGAACCGGAGGCUAAUACGGCAUAAAAAUUUUAACCACAAGUUUAAUGUUUGAAAGAUGUUUUUGCUUCACUUAAAGAUUGUUCCGCGGCGGAUUAGCUAGUUGGUGAGGUAAAGGCUUACCAAGGCAACGAUUCUUAACCGCCCUGAGAGGGUGACCGGCCACACUGGACCGGAGCCCCGCUCCAGACUCUUACGGGAGGCAGCAGUAGGGAAUCUUGCGCAAUGGGCGAAAGCCUGCCGGAGCAACGCCGCGUGAGUGAUGAAGGUCUUCGGAUCGUAAAACCCUGUUAUUAGGGAAGAACAAAUGUGUAAGUAACUGCGCACCUAUUGACGGUAACUACUCAGAAAGCCACGGCUAACUACGUG
rnacentral:rRNA from 1 species